AUUGAACGCUGGCGGCAGGCCUAACACAUGCAAGUCGAGCGGAUGAUGGGAGCUUGCUCCCGGAUUCAGCGGCGGACGGGUGAGUAAUGCCUAGGAAUCUGCCUGGUAGUGGGGGACAACGUUUCGAAAGGAACGCUAAUAACGCAUACGUCCUACGGGAGAAAGCAGGGGACCUUCGGGCCUUGCGCUAUCAGAUGAGCCUAGGUCGGAUUAGCUAGUUGGUGGGGUAAAGGCCUACCAAGGCGACGAUCCGUAACUGGUCUGAGAGGAUGAUCAGUCACACUGGAACUGAGACACGGUCCAGACUCCGACGGGAGGCAGCAGUGGGGAAUAUUGGACAAUGGGCGAAAGCCUGAUCCAGCCAUGCCGCGUGUGUGAAGAAGGUCUUCGGAUUGUAAAGCACUUUAAGUUGGGAGGAAGGGCAGUAAGUUAAUACCUUGCUGCUUUGACGUUACCAACAGAAUAAGCACCGGCUAACUUCGUGCCAGCCGCCGCAGUAACAC
rnacentral:rRNA from 1 species